rnacentral:rRNA from 1 species
CAUGGUUGAUCAUGCUAGUAGUCAUAUGCUUGUCUCAAACAUUAAGCCAUGAAUGUGUAAGUAUGAACUAAUUCAGACUGUGAAACUGCGAAUGACUCAUUAAAUCAAUUAUAGUUUGUUUGAUGGUAUCUACUACUUUGAUAAUCGUAGUAAUUCUAGAGCUAAUACGUGUAACAAACCCCGACUUCUGGAAGGGAUGCAUUUAUUAGAUAAAAUAUCGACGUAAGCUCUUCUUGUUGCUUUGAUGAUUCAUGAUAACUCGUCGGAUUGCACGACCCUUGUGUUGGCGACGCAUCAUUCAAAUUUAUGCCCUAUCAACUUUUGAUGGUAGGAUAGUGGCCUACCAUGGUGGUGAUGGGUGACAAAGAAUUAAGGUUCAAUUCCGGAGAGGGAGUCUGAGAAAUGGCUACAACAUCCAAGGAAUGCAACAGGUGCACAAAUUACCCAAUCCUAACACGGGGAGGUAGUGACAAUAAAUAACAAUAUCGGGUUCAUUGAGUCUGGUAAUUGGAAUGAGUACAAUCUAAAUCCCUUACCGAGGAUCCAUUGGAGGGAAAGUCUGGUGCCAGCAGUCGCGGUAAUUCCAGCUCCAAUAGCUUAUAUUUAAGUUGUUACAGUUAAAAAGCUUGUAGUUGGACCUUGGGUUUGGUCGACCGGUCUGCCUCUGGUGUGCACCGGUUGGCUCCUCCUUUCUGUCGGCGGUGCGCUCUUGGCCUUAAUUGGUCGGGGUCGUGCCUCCAGCGCUAUUACUUUGAAGAAAUUAGAGUGCUCAAAGUAAGCCUACGCUCUGGAUACAUUAGCAUGGGAUAACACCACAUGAUUUUGAUCCUAUUGUGUUGGCCUUCGGGAUCGGAGUAAUGAUUAACAGGGAUAGUCGGAGGCAUUCGUAUUUCAUAGUCAGAGGUGAAAUUCUUGGAUUUAUGAAAGACGGACAACUGCAAAUCAUUUGCCAAUAAUGUUUUCAUUAAUCAAGAGCAAAAGUUGGGGGCUCGAAGACGAUUAGAUACCGUCCCCUAGUCUCAACCAUAAACGAUGUCGAUCAGGGAUUAGUGGAUGUUGCUUUUAGGACUCCGCUGGCACGUUAUGAGAAAUCAAAGUCUUUGGGCUCCGAGGGGAGUAUGGUCGCAAGGCUGAAACUUAAAGGAAUUGAUGGAAGGGCACCAUCAAGAGUAAACCAUGCGGCUUAAUUUGACUCAACACGGGGAAACUUACCAGGUCUCGACAUAGGAAAGAUUGACAGACUGAGAGCUCUUUCUUGAUUCUAUGGGUGGUGGUGCAUGGCCAUUAUAUAGAUGUCCUGGUUAAUUCCAUUAACGAAUGAGACCUCAUCCUACUAAAUAGCGAUGUGGAGGUAACCCUCCAUGAUAAGCUUCAUAGAGGGACUAUGGUCGUUUAGGCCUCAGAAGUUUCAGGAAAUAACAGGUAUGUGAUGCCCUUAGAUGUUCUAGGCCACACGCGCGCUACAUUGAUGUAUUCAAUGAGUCUAUAGCCUAGGCUGACAGGCUCGGGUAAUCUUUGAAAUUUCAUCGUGAUGGGAAUAGAUCAUUGCAAUUGUUGGUCUUCAACGAGGAAUUCCUAGUUAGCGCGAGUCAUCAGCUCGUGUUGAUUAUGUCCCUACCCGUCGCUCCUACCGAUUGAAUGGUCCGAUGAAGUGUUUGAAUUGUGAUGACGUGGGCAGUUCGCUGCCCGCGACUUUGUGAGAAGUCUAUUGAACCUUAUCAUUUAGAGGAAGGAGAAGUCGUAACAAGGUUUUCUGUAGGUGAACCUGCGCAAG